rnacentral:rRNA from 1 species
CGAGCUUGACGGAUGAUUUCUUCGGAAUGAAACCAGAUAUGACUUAGUGGCGGACGGGUGAGUAACACGUGAGCAACCUGCCUUUCAGAGGGGGAUAACGGCUGGAAACGGUCGCUAAUACCGCAUGACGUGUUCGGAUGGCAUCAUCUGAACAUCAAAGAUUUAUCGCUGAAAGAUGGGCUCGCGUCUGAUUAGAUAGUUGGUGGGGUAACGGCCUACCAAGUCGACGAUCAGUAGCCGGACUGAGAGGUUGAACGGCCACAUUGGGACUGAGAUACGGCCCAGACUCCUACGGGAGGCAGCAGUGGGGAAUAUUGCACAAUGGGGGAAACCCUGAUGCAGCAACGCCGCGUGAAGGAUGACGGUUUUCGGAUUGUAAACUUCUUUUCUUAGUGACGAAGACAGUGACGGUAGCUAAGGAAUAAGCAUCGGCUAACUACGUGCCAGCAGCCGCGGUAAUACGUAGGAUGCAAGCGUUAUCCGGAUUUACUGGGUGUAAAGGGAGCGCAGGCGGGACUGCAAGUUGGAUGUGAAAUACCGUGGCUUAACCACGGAACUGCAUCCAAAACUGUAGUUCUUGAGUGAAGUAGAGGCAAGCGGAAUUCCGAGUGUAGCGGUGAAAUGCGUAGAUAUUCGGAGGAACACCAGU